UCAGUCGAUGGUGUAUCGGUAACAUACCUGGUUUUCAAUAGAAGACUUCAAGUGAUCUAUAUCACCCAGGCGCGCCGGGUUCGAUUCCCGGUCGGGGAA